rnacentral:rRNA from 1 species
UACGUAGGGUGCGAGCGUUAAUCGGAAUUACUGGGCGUAAAGUGUGCGCAGGCGGCCGCGCAAGUCGAGUGUGAAAUCCCCGAGCUUAACUUGGGAAUUGCGCUCGAAACUACGUGGCUGGAGUGUGGCAGAGGAUGGCGGAAUUCCCCAAGUAGAGGUGAAAUUCGUAGAUAUGGGGAGGAACACCGGUGGCGAAGGCGCUGCUCUGGGCCGAUACUGACGCUGAGGAGCGAAAGCGUGGGUAGCAAACAGG